rnacentral:rRNA from 1 species
GACGAACGCUGGCGGCGUGCUUAACACAUGCAAGUCGAGCGGAGCGGCGAACGGGUGAGUAACGCGUGAGUAAAUGCCCCCCUCUCUGGGUUAACAGUUGGAAACGGCUGCUAAUACCGGACAGUGGUGGAUGACUCGCGUCCUCUCAGCUUGUUGGUGGGGUAGUAGCAUACCAAGGCGACGACGGGUAGCCGGCCUGAGAGUGCGACCGGCCUCCAGUGGCUAGGUGACGGCCCAAACUCCUACGGGAGGCAUCAGUGGCGAAUAUUGCACAAUGGGGGAAACCCUGAUGCAGCAACGCGCGUGCGUGAUGACGGCCUACGGGUUGUGAACCGCUUUGAGCCAUGACGCGGUAGUGGCAGAAGAAGCACCGGCUAACUACGUGCCAGCCGCCGCGGUAAUAC